CCCUUAGAUGUUCUGGGCCGCACGCGUGUUACACUGAUGCGUUCAUCAAGCACCACACCUUGGCUCGAGAGGCCUGGGUAAUCUUGAAAUCGCAUCGUGCUGGGGAUAGAUUAUUGUAAUUUUUAAUCUUCAACGAGGAAUUUCUAGUAGGCGUUUGUCAUCAACAAGCACCGAUUACGUCCCUGUCCUUUGUACACACCGCCCGUCGCUACUACCGAUUGGAUCAUUUGGUGAGGCCCGCGGACUGUUGUGCUUUCUUCCUCGUGUUGAUCGCACUUCUUGGGAAGCGGUACGAACCUGAUGAUCUAGAGGAAGUAAAAGUCGUAACA
rnacentral:rRNA from 1 species